rnacentral:rRNA from 1 species
GUGCCAGCAGCCGCGGUAAUACGGGGGGGGCAAGCGUUGUUCGGAAUUGCUGGGCGUAAAGGGCUCGUAGGUGGCCAACUAAGUCAGACGUGAAGUCCCUCGGCUUAACCGGGGAACUGCGUCUGAUACUGGAUGGCUUGAGGUUGGGAGAGGGACGCGGAAUUCCAGGUGUAGCGGUGAAAUGCGUAGAUAUCUGGAGGAACACCGGUGGCGAAGGCGGCGUCCUGGACCAAUUCUGACACUGAGGAGCGAAAGCCAGGGGAGCAAACGGGAUUAGAUACCCGAGUAGUCC